GAUGAACGCUGGCGGCGUGCCUAAUACAUGCAAGUCGAGCGAACAGACGAGGAGCUUGCUCCUCUGACGUUAGCGGCGGACGGGUGAGUAACACGUGGAUAACCUACCUAUAAGACUGGGAUAACUUCGGGAAACCGGAGUUAAUACCGGAUAAUAUAUUGAACCGCAUGGUUCAAUAGUGAAAGACGGUUUUGCUGUCACUUAUAGAUGGAUCCGCGCCGCAUUAGCUAGUUGGUAAGGUAACGGCUUACCAAGGCAACGAUGCGUAGCCGACCUGAGAGGGUGAUCGGCCACACUGGAACUGAGACACGGUCCAGACUCCUACGGGAGGCAGCAGUAGGGAAUCUUCCGCAAUGGGCGAAAGCCUGACGGAGCAACGCCGCGUGAGUGAUGAAGGUCUUCGGAUCGUAAAACUCUGUUAUUAGGGAAGAACAAAUGUGUAAGUAACGAUGCACGUCUUGACGGUACCUAAUCAGAAAGCCACGGCGAACUACGU
rnacentral:rRNA from 1 species